rnacentral:rRNA from 1 species
UACGUAGGGGGCAAGCGUUGUCCGGAAUCAUUGGGCGUAAAGAGCGUGUAGGCGGCCGUACAGGUCAGCUGUGAAAACUCGAGGCUCAACCUCGAGACGUCGGUUGAAACCGUACGGCUAGAGUCCGGAAGAGGAGAGUGGAAUUCCCGGUGUAGCGGUGAAAUGCGCAGAUAUCGGGAAGAACACCCGUGGCGAAGGCGGCUCUCUGGGACGGUACUGACGCUGAGACGCGAAAGCGUGGGGAGCGAACAGG